rnacentral:rRNA from 1 species
GACGAACGCUGGCGGCGUGCUUAACACAUGCAAGUCGAACGGUGAAGCGCCUUCCUUUUUGGUGGGUGUGGAUGAGUGGCGAACGGGUGAGUAACACGUGAGUAACCUGCCCCCUUCUUCUGGAUAACCGCAUGAAAGUGUGGCUAAUACGGGAUAUUCUGGGUCUGUCGCAUGAUGGGUCUGGGAAAGAUUGCGCCUUUUGGGUGUUUUUGGUGGGGGAUGGGCUCGCGGCCUAUCAGCUUGUUGGUGGGGUGAUGGCCUACCAAGGCGGUGACGGGUACCGGCCUGAGAGGGUGGACGGUCACACUGGGACUGAGACACGGCCCAGACUCCUACGGGAGGCAGCAGUGGGGAAUAUUGCACAAUGGGCGCAAGCCUGAUGCAGCGACGCCGCGUGAGGGAUGGAGGCCAUUCGGGUUGU